GGGCCGGGAAGAAAAGCUUAGUAUAAAUCCGGAAGACUGUUCAACCUCCUUUUAGAUGCACCCUAAUAGAACCAACCCCUUCACCAUGCAUGCUUUUCUCCUUUCCAUGUUGUCCUCCACUUAAACACAAAAGCUGGCUCCUCACCUUUUGCUUUACAAACCAUACUUCUAAUCCUUUUGACACAUGAACCACGAACAUUGCCACUAUAAUUGCCCCCCUCUGCCCAUCUUUCCCCUCCCCCCUCUCUUGCGAUGGCUUCGACGACAACACCGACGGCACCAUUACCAGACUACAAGGAGCCCAUGCCUGCAGAGCCUCAACAUGGCUCCGGUUCGAUCGGACCAUUCUUUGCGGUGAUGUCAGUGAUUAUAGUCCUAACAGUGCUCUCCUGCAUCUUUGGCUGGGCUUGUGCAGAACGUGCUGCCGGCCCCGACGCAUGGUAUGAUUGCAUGGGGUGGUGGCAAAAAAGAUGGGGGCGAUGCAUGUCGCACCGCAACGCUGUAAGAGAAGCAAAAGCUGCGAUGGCAGCGGAGUUGGAACCAAAGCCGAAGGAGAGUAACCAGUGAUUCCUGCCAAUGCCAUAGACAUGAGGUAGUCUGAGUCUAAUGUUCACUCUUCGAUACUCAGCAGUUUGUAGGUUAAUGUCAUAAGAGAGUUGAGGAAGGCUCUGUAUAGUGGCUUUGAAAGUUUUAGGUUUUGAUGUGCAUUAAGCCUUGUGCUUUUGGGAGAAGGUGGGACUGUUUUUAUUCUAUUUUAUUUUGUAAAUUUAGAAUAAAAUGCAGUAUUUGGAUUCAUUGGGUUGAGAAGCUGAUUUACAUUUGGC
rnacentral:lncRNA from 1 species